rnacentral:tRNA from 1 species
UCCCUGGUGGCUCAGACGGUAAAGCGUCUGCCUGCAACGCGGGAGAGCCAGGUUAGAUCCCUGGGUUGGGAA